rnacentral:rRNA from 1 species
GAUGAACGCUGGCGGCGUGCCUAAUACAUGCAAGUCGAGCGAACAGAUGAGGAGCUUGCUCCUCUGACGUUAGGGGCGGACGUGUGAGUAACACGUGGAUAACCUACCUAUAAGACUGGUAUAACCUCGGGAAACCGGAUCUAAUACCGGAUAAUAUAUUGAACCGCAUUGGUGAUUGGUGAAAGUCGGUGUUUCUGUCUGUUCUAGAUGCAUCUGAGCCGCAUGAGCUAGUUGGUAAGGUAACGGCUUACCAAGGCGACGAUGCGUAGCCGACGUGAGAGGGUGGUCGGCCACACUGGAACUGAGACACGGUCCAGACUCCUACGGGAGGCAGCAGUAGGGAAUCUGCCGCAAUGGGCGAAAGCCUGACGGAGCAACGCCGCGUGAGUGAUGAAGGUCUUCGGAUCGUAAAACUCUGUUAUUAGGGAAGAACAAAUGUGUAAGUAACUAUGCACGUCUUGACGGUACCUAAUCAGAAAGCCACGGCUAACUACGUG